rnacentral:rRNA from 1 species
CAGCCGCCGCGGUAAUACCGGCGGCCCGAGUGGCGGUCACUAUUAUUGGGCUUAAAGCGUCCGUAGCCGGGUUGGGAAGGCCUCCGGGAAAUCUGGCCGCUUAACGGUCAGAAUGCCGGAGGAUACUCCCAGCCUAGGGAGCGGGAGAGGCCGAGGGGAUUCCCGGAGUAGGGGGGAAAUCCUAUAAUCCCGGGAGGACCACCUGUGGCGAAGGCGCUCGCCUGGAACGCGUCCGACGGUGAGGGACGAAGGCCAGGGGAGCAAACCGGAUUAGAUACCCGGGUAGUCCUGGCUGUAAACGAUGCGGACUUUGUGUCGGACAAGCUAUGAGCUUGUCCGGUGCCGGAGGGAAACCGUUAAGUCCGCCGCCUGGGGAGUACGGCCGCAAGGCUGAAACUUAAAGGAAUUGGCGGG